AGCAGCCGCGGUAAUUCCAGCUCCAAUAGCGUAUAUUAAAGUUGUUGCAGUUAAAAAGCUCGUAGUUGAAUUUCGGGGUUAGUAGGUUGGUCAUGCCUCUGGUAUGUACUGGUCUCACUGAUUCCUCCUUCCUGAUGAACCUUAAUGCCAUUAAUUUGGUGUUUUGGGGAAUUUGGACUGUUACUUUGAAAAAUUAGAGUGUUUAAAGCAAGCUAACGCUUGAAUACAUUAGCAUGGAAUAAUGAAAUAGGACGUUCGAUCCUAUUUUGUUGGUUUCUAGGAUUGACGUAAUGAUUAAUAGGGAUAGUUGGGGGCAUUAGUAUUCAAUUGUCAGAGGUGAAAUUCUUGGAUUUAUUGAAGACUAACUACUGCGAAAGCAUUUUGCCAAGGAUGUUUUCAUUAAUCAAGAACGAAAGUUAGGGGAUCGAAGACGAUCAGAUACCGUCGUAGUCUUAACCAUAAACUAUGCCGACUAGGGAUCGGAUGAUGUUAAUUUUUUCAAUGACUCAUUCGGCGCCUU
rnacentral:rRNA from 1 species